AUGGAACCAAAGGUGUUCAAGGCACUGCUUAGCUUCAUCUACACAGACUCAUUCCCUGUGAUGGACAAGGACAGUGUCAGCAUGGAGGAGGAUGCAAUGGUACAAGCCAUGGAAGAUGGGCAACAAAAAGAGGCAGUUUUAGAGGAUGAAAUGUUGCUGCAAUGGCUUCAACACUUGUUGGUAGCGGCUGACAGAUAUGAUGUACAAAGGCUCAAAUGCAUCUGCGAGAAGCACUUGUCUGAGAACAUAGGUGUGAGCACGGUGAUGUCCGCUCUUGCUUUUGCCGAGCAGCACCACUGCCGGGGAUUGAAGGAGGCGUGCUUCAAGUUUAUCCAAGUCCAGCCCCCCUCGUGCUUGCAAACACUAAUGGCAACUAAUGGCUGGGAUCAUGUAGCUUCGACCUAU
rnacentral:rRNA from 1 species